AGCAGCCGCGGUAAUUCCAGCUCCAAUAGCGUAUAUUAAAGUUGUUGCAGUUAAAAGCUCGUAGUUGAAUUUCGGGAUUGGCGCAUCGGUCGUGCCUCACGGGGUAUGAACUGGUGCAGUCAAUUUCUCACCUUCUGGAGAACCGCGAUGUCCUUAAUUGGAUGCCGCGGGGAACCAGGACCUUUACUUUGAAAAAUUGAGUGUUUAAAGCAGGCUAUUUUUGCUUGAAUACAUUAGCAUGGAAUAAUAAAAUAGGACGGCAUGGUUCUAUUUUGUUGGUUUCUAGGACCACCGUAAUGAUUAAUAGGGAUAGUUGGGGGCAUUAGUAUUCAAUUGUCAGAGGUGAAAUUCUUGGAUUUAUUGAAGACUAACUACUGCGAAAGCAUUUGCCAAGGAUGUUUUCAUUAAUCAAGAACGAAAGUUAGGGAUACGAAGACGAUCAGAUACCGUCGUAGUCUUAACCAUAAACUAUGCCGACUAGGAAUCAGACGAUGUUAAUUUUUUAAUGUAACUUCGUUUG
rnacentral:misc_RNA from 1 species